rnacentral:rRNA from 1 species
GGUAGCAAACCGGAUUAGAUACCCGGGUAGUCCUAGCUGUAAACAUUGCCCAUUUGAUGUUGCUUUUCCGUUGAGGGAAGGCAGUGUCGGAGCGAAGGUGUUAAAUGGGCCGCUUGGGAAGUAUGGUCGCAAGACUGAAACUUAAAGGAAUUGGCGGGGGAGCACCGCAACGGGAGGAAUGUGCGGUUUAAUUGGAUUCAACGCCGGAAAACUCACCGGGAACGACCUGUGCAUGAGAGUCAACCUGACGAGCUUACUCGAUAGCAGGAGAGGUGGUGCAUGGCCGUCGUCAGCUCGUACCGUAGGGCGUUCACUUAAGUGUGAUAACGAGCGAGACCCACAUCUUUAAUUGCAAAUGUAUAUGAGAAUAUGCAUGCACUUUAGAGAAACCGCCAGCGCUAAGCUGGAGGAAGGAGUGGUCGACGGCAGGUCAGUACGCCCCGAAUUUCCCGGGCUACACGCGCAUUACAAAGAACGGGACAAUACGUUGCAACCUCGAAAGAGGAAGCUAAUCGCGAAACCCGUCCAUAGUUAGGAUUGAGGGCUGUAACUCGCCCUCAUGAAUCUGGAUUCCGUAGUAAUCGCGGGUCAACAACCCGCGGUGACAUGCCCUGCUCUUGCACUCACCGCCUU